rnacentral:rRNA from 1 species
AUUGAACGCUGGCGGCAGGCCUAACACAUGCAAGUCGAGCGGAGCGGCGGACGGGUGAGUAAUGCCUAGGAAUCUGCCUGGUAGUGGGGGAUAACGUCCGGAAACGGGCGCUAAUACCGCAUACUAUCAGAUGAGCCUAGGUCGGAUUAGCUAGUUGGUGGGGUAAAGGCCUACAAGGGCGACGAUCCGUAACUGGUCUGAGAGGAUGAUCAGUCACAUGGGAACUGAGACACGGUCCAGAAUCCUACGGGAGGCAUAAGUGGGGAAUAUUGGACAAUGGGCGAAAGCCUGAGCCAGCCAGGCCGCGUGUGUGUAGAAGGUCUUCGGAUUGUAAAGCCCGUUAAGUUGGGAGGCGUUACCAACAGAAUAAGCACCGGCUAACUUCGUGCCAGCCGCCGCGGUAAUAC